rnacentral:tRNA from 1 species
AGGGGCUUAGGAUAAUCAAGACCAAGGGCCUUCAAAGCCCUAAGUGGGAGUUAGAACCUCUCAGUCCCUG